CAGUAACCAAUCAGCUUCAACUUCGUGGAUCAUGCUCCACCGACCUAAUACUUCAAGGAAAACCACACGGUCAAUGUCGGUUUGAUCCGACGGCCCAGAUUCAUCUGAAAUGACUAUAUAACCAGACCCCCUGGCCCCUGGAGGAGACACCCCUUGAUCAUUAUUCAUUAUUCAUAGACAGAGCAAAAGCUAGGGUUUAGAGAUGAGAGCUCUCCUCUCUUCUCUAAACUAGAGUAGAUCUAGAUAGUAGCAAGAUGGAGAGCGAAGGAGGAUUAGAGGAGAGGCCGGCC
rnacentral:lncRNA from 1 species